UAAUACAGAGGGGGCUAGCGUUGUUCGGAAUCACUGGGUGUAAAGGGUGCGUAGGCGGUCCGUUAAGUCUGAUGUGAAAGCCCUGGGCUCAACUCAGGAACUGCAUUGGAAACUGGCGGGCUGGAGUACCGGAGAGGGAAGCGGAAUUCCUGGUGUAGCGGUGAAAUGCGUAGAUACCAGGAGGAACACCGGUGGCGAAGGCGGCUUCCUGGCCGAGUACUGACGCUGAGGCACGAAAGCGUGGGGAGCGAACGGGAUUAGAUACCCCGGUAGUCCACGCUGUAAACGAUGGGUACUAGGUGUUGGAGGUAUCGACCCCUCCAGUGCCGUAGCUAACGCAUUAAGUACCCCACCUGGGGAGUACGUUCGCAAGAAUG
rnacentral:rRNA from 1 species